rnacentral:lncRNA from 1 species
GGAGGAUGGACAAUCGGCAGCAGAAGUAACCAUGGGAGUACGUUCUGUAGUCCUCUUACAGAUGUUUCAGCCGCUGGUGGAUGGUGAUUAAACGAUCUGAAGCUUUUCAUCCCUGAUGGAGAAACGGCAAUGGGCUGCACUCCUUCGAAAUCUAAAGCCACCUACACCCACGACAAGGUCUGGAGAGAUCUUGACACCUGCUCCACGUUCGUUUCCAGCCUCAAGAGCUCUGUCUCUACCCCUGAAAGGCCAUCACCUCGGCCGCGAUUGGAAAGCAGCAACGUUAAACAGAAUUUUUUGAGCGUUCCUUCUCCGGGCUAUCACAGCAGAGCGUUAAGUCAGCCCAGCAGCCCCGACACGUGGAGCACCUUCAGCACCCCAAGUGCCACGAGCCCCCUGUGCAAACCGCAGCCCAGCGUCAAGCCCAGCAGCAGCGACAGCGACUCCUCCGACAGCGAGACCCCCGGCCAGCACGGGAGAUGACAGAGACAGCCCAGGCGCAGGGGAUGACGGCUUUUCACAUGGCGCUCGGAACCAACGAACACAGAACUGAUUGACUGGCAGGCCGUCUUGGAAAAACACCUCGUUCCCGUUGCAGCCAGUGAGAUGCUUUUCCUUCACUCUUAGAGUUUCGGUCAUCACGGUCUCAUCAGUCUCCAUUACUCUCCACCUCCUCAAAUCUGUAAUAAAAAUAAAACUCGGCUACAGUUGUGUUGACAGUUGUGCAUAGUGAUGCUUGUCUUUGAUUUUUUUAAUGCUUGGGAUAAAAGCCCAAUGUGAAACUGCUUUUUUAUAUUUUCUGGUUUAUCUUAAAGGUUCCAGUAAAUAAUUAUUGUGUGUUGGGAUAGCAACUGAAUUAUUAAAGAAAUAGAUUAAAGAUUGGAAAAUUGUAAAUAGAGUGUACCAGGAUUGUAAUCUACAUAGCAAUGUCACUGUUAAACUAAUCCACGUAUUGCUAAACAAAGGAAUAUAUUUUCUGAGUUCCAUUGCAUAUGGUUAUAUUUUCUAUUAAGGGUAGAAUUAAGAUAUUACCUGUGAAGUGAAUGAAUAAAUAGGAAUCUAAGCUAUAAACAGUUUUGUUUUUAUCUGUCUUGUGCUUCAGUGUUAACCUUUUAACUAAAAUGUGUUUAAAGCAUUGCAUUCACAGUGUAUUUGUGAAUUAUACACUGAUGUAUAACCAGGCGUGAGUUGUUUGAAAAACUUAUGAAUGUGCUCAAAGCUGUCAUCAUAUUAAAUAAACUCGUGCUGUUAUUUCAGUUGACAAUUUUCCACAUUUGACUAAAUUUUGGAUUAAAUCAGUUCUUCAACAUCCCUCCCUCACCCACAAAUCACACAUUUUAAAAUCCAGCACUGUGUCGGUGGCCUCUUGUUUUUGGCUUUUACAUAACGAAAAUAUGGUCAUGAAAUAGUGUUCUGUCACAUGGGAUGAAAUGUUUACUCUGUUUUAGUACAGCAUGAAAUGGCUGGAUUAUCUUCAGUUUUGACAGUAUAAAACAGCACUUGUCCUUACUUUUACUAGAGACCAUUUAUACAGUACAGCCAGUUUAUGCAUGGUAUGUGUUACAGUAACCACUAAUUUUUUACAUUUCUUGGGAUGUUUGCAAUACAGAAAGAUGUCUUCAAUUCUAAAUUGUGUAGUAUGUAGUAUUUACUAUUCUGAGGUGUAUACAAUUGCAAUAUAAUACAACUAUCCAUGUGUAAAUGAAGACAGAUACUUGAAAUUUUAGCAUGUCAGUCAAAACAUACAGUACAGUAUGUUCCUUAAAAAAGUGACUAUGCUUUAAUUAAGCACAAUAUUGUAUUAAAUUCAAAAUGUUACUUUUGAAACACAAUUCCAAACAUUGUAGGUAUAAAUGUGGCAACAAUAUAAUGGAAACAUUGCAUUUGUACUGUGCAUUUCCAAUUUCCCUGAUUAGAACACCCAUAUUAAUAAGUUAGUAUGAUAUUGAUUAUUAUAAUCACAAUUAUUUAGACAAGCUUGUGCUGCCUCCAGUUGUUAUUGAUAAAUUGCAUUAAACACAUGAAAUGGUUUCAGA